AAAAAGUACAUUAUUCGAUUUUUUCGCUGAUAUUUAUUGUAUGAACGAUUCCAUUACGAUUAGCAUUACAGUUUCGAAACUUCUACCAAUGGCUGUGAUUGGUUGUUUCAUUCGGCAUCCUUUCAUUUCGACCAAUCAGACACGUCGCUGUGUCUGAUUUGUGACGCAGUACAGCAUUCCUCUUCGAAGCUUCGUUCGUCUUGCACGUGUCUGCAACAGGGUGCAAUGCGCGGAGUGUGGUGGCGUACAACAGUCGUCUCGAAGCUUCGUCCGUUUGGCACGUGUCUGCAACAGGUAUCGGCCGAUAGCAGAAUAUACCGAACAUUGCCGAGUGUUGCCGAAGUGCCGACCGGUCUACGAUGGGAAGGAAGGUCUCGCCAUUGCUCUCUCGAGCGUCGAAGUGAGAAGACGUGUCGAGGUCGUGCUCCCGUA